ensembl:lncRNA
AUUUUUCCUGGAAGACUGAAUUUCUCCAGGGUCACUGAGAAGGUGCUGGAUACGCUGUUACUAUUCUAACUGCAGGAGAAGCAGGGGCAGCCUAUGGAGCUAGCGUCCAGCUGCUGCGGCCAUAUCUACAGGUGACUGUAAUUUGCUGUCUCGCGCCCUGAAGCUCUCCUCCAGCUGUGAUCCUGUGGAAGCCAGUGGACCUCGGCUGGGCUGUCUGUCCAUCCCGGGCACUGCUGGGCAGCCUGGCUCCUUGGCCCUGCUCUGCUUUUUCAAACUGGAGUCUUCAGCUCAGCUGUCAGAGAUGUGUGAUCAUGAAGUCUCUGUGGGCACCAGUAGUGACUCUGCAAAGCCCAGAGCUCUGUGAGGACACCUUCAGACCCUGGCGCACCCACGUGAGCCUGCAGCUCGUGACUGAUCUCAGUGCAAAACCACAAGGGCCAUGUCAGCUGGGAACUGCGGUCUCUAAUGAUGCCACUUGUUGGGCCCGUCCCUUGACCACGCUGAAUUCCAGGCUCUCAUCCAUAACAGGGAAAUAAGACCCAUUUUAUCUCUUACUGUGGGUUAUUGUCAAUCAAGAGACCAUGAAAGUGCUUUGAAAAAGAAAAAGCAAUAUUCAGAUUCAAAGGAUUAGAAUCACUUUUUUUUCACUGUGAGGGUUUUCAAGGUUCAAACAAAAAGGAUUUAUACGUUUUACUAUUUAAUAAUGAAGUCAAAUGUAUCAGAAGUUUGAUAAAACACCAUAGUUGAGUAUGCUGUUUAAUCACUAAGUCAUGUCCGACUCUUUGUGAACCCAUAGACUGUAGCCCACUGCGCCUCUCUGUCCAUAGGCUUUCCCAGGCAAGAAUACUGGCAUGGGUUGCCAUUUCCUUCUCCAGGGGGUCUUCCCAACCAUGGGGAUUGAAUCUGGGUCUCCUGCUUGGCAGGCAGAUUCUUUACCACUGAGCCACCUGGGAAGUAUAGCAAGCACUGUUCACUGUAUUCACAAGUAUUCACUGUAUUUCUCCUCUUUUUCUUCUGAGCUCACAGAACCCCAAUUCUUUCAGGAAAGAACAAAGCUUCCUUUCAUCUGCCUUGAUCUCCCCCAGACCCAGGGGCAGACCUAUGAUUUGUCUUAUCAUUCAUGGCAAUCACCUUCCAUGUGGCCCGUGAUGGGUUUAAGGAUAUUUCCCAGUUCCAGUCAAUGAGAAAUAAGGGAAACUGUGACUUCUCUUGGAGAAGGCAAUGGCACCCCACUCCAGUGUUCUUGCCUGGAAAAUCCCGUGGAUGGAGGAGCCUGGUGGGCUGCCGUCUAUGGGGUCACACACAGUCGGACACGACUGAAGCAACUUAGCAGCAGCAGCAGCAGCACUGACUUCGCUUUCCCAACUUGAAAUACAAUCUCAAGAGGAGAAAAUCAGGGGACUUCCCUGCUGGUCCAGUGGUUAAGACUGAGCUUCCACUGCAGGGGGACACUGAUUUGAUUCCUGGUACGGGAACUAAGAUCCCAUAUGCCACAUGGCUUGGUGAAAAAAAAAGAGAGAGAAAAUCUUUUGCCUCUGCCCUGCCCUUUGUGAGGUCCUGGUGCCUGGAGAAGUAGCUUCCAUCUUUCAACCAUGAAGCAAUGAGCACAAGGGCACAAUGGAAGAACAGAGAAUCAGAGGAAACAGGAUUCUUGAAGAUGUCUCCAAGCUACUGCAACCGUCCUCCUCCAGUUAUGAGACAAUGAAAUGCCCUUAAUGCUUGAGUCAGUGUUACUUGCUGCCAACUGCAUAUGUAAAUCAGUACAAUCUCUGAGGAAUGUAGCUUGACAAUGUGUUUCUAUUUUGAAUGCACAUACCCUUGAAUUCAACAAUUCUAUUUAUCAAGAAAUAUCCCACAAAUAUACUCACACUGUGCUCAAAUAAGUACUUUUGAGUCUAUUAAUUAACAACAUUAUGUAUCUAACAAUAUGGUUAGAUUGAUUAUGGUGCAUCUGUAUAAAUGAAACAUACGCUGACUCUAAAAUGAUUGGCACAACCCUGUGUAUUGGUAAGAAAUUGUAUUCUAGAUAUAUUAGGUGAAAGAAGUGAGAUAAAUAAUGGUUGAAAUUGGGCAAUGGUACAUGGACAUUUGUAAUGCCAUUUUUCCUUAUAAGUGUAUUGUGGAGAUUUAAACUUUUCAAAAAAAAAAAAAAAGCAGAGGCAAGGGG